rnacentral:rRNA from 1 species
UACGUAGGGUGCGAGCGUUGUCCGGAAUUAUUGGGCGUAAAGAGCUCGUAGGCGGUGUGUCACGUCGGCCGUGAAAACCUGCAGCUUAACUGUGGGCGUGCGGUCGAUACGGGCAUCACUGGAGUUCGGCAGGGGAGACUGGAAUUCCUGGUGUAGCGGUGAAAUGCGCAGAUAUCAGGAGGAACACCGGUGGCGAAGGCGGGUCUCUGGGCCGAUACUGACGCUGAGGAGCGAAAGCGUGGGGA